UUUCCGUAGUGAACCUGCGGAAGGAUCAUUA
rnacentral:rRNA from 2 species